CCAUGUAGGAAUACCCAAAUCAGUAAAAAAUUCUGGAAUACAUUCAUCUGGAGACCAUUCUUGCAUACGUUGUAUACUAGAAGGAUACUCUUCAGGAACAAAUUUUGUUCUAAUAUAACGACAAAGAACCGACCGAGGAGUUAUUCGGGAUCGAUAAACAUAAUUAUGUGAGAAAAUUAUUGCGAAAGGUGCUGAAAAAUUUAUGAAAAGAGUGAAAACAUUGAAUUGAAAGCAGCGACAGCCGCUGUCGUUGGUGAAAUAUUAAAAAUUAAAUUUAAGCAAAACAAAAAAGAGAAAAGAAUUUGGGUACGUCAGUGAAUUCAAAGAAAAAAUGAACUUGAUGUUUCUCAAACUUUGUUAAGAGAACUUGUCUCAGAAGACCCAAAAAGUUUACUCUCACAAAAAUACUAUCAAUUAUCAAGUCUCUCUUCAUAGUGUGAUAGUGACUAUCAUGAUGUUUACACGUUGAAAGCACGAUUUAAGAUAGAGAGGUUGUUCCAGAUGAAAAAAGUUGUUAAUAACGAUAUGAUAUUUACCUACCGGAGUGAAAUGCAAUAUAAAAAUCACAGCGUGUUGGACGGAUUCCUACUGAACGCGGAAAAAUUUGGCAUUGCGGUGUGCGUCACAAAUAUGUAGCCGUUCAACUCGUGGUGCGCUAUGAUGCAUUAACGAAAUAACAUACAUACAUUGAACGAACAAAAAAGCGCACGAGUGUAAGCAUACGUAUAUAUAUGUUUCACGUUUUUGUGAAAUAUUGCAUGCUUUAAACACUAAACAGUCGUAAAUUGUAGAUUUAUCAGUGUUAUAAUUUAAUUAUGAGCUAUACAAUUUUCUUGUCAUAAAUUGUAACUGUUGAGAUAUCGUAGUAUUAUAAUAGUGAAAUCAAAAAAAUUUCAACUAUGAUAGUAUCCAUGAAUUCUUAUUUCUUAUCUUAACAUCUUUUAAAGUUUAGUGCUUACGGGAAACUGAAGGGGAUAUCCCCCUCCCCAUAAUUACGCCACUGAGAUAAAUAAAUUGUAUUUAAUCAACACUGUUAUGGAUAAAUGUAAAUUUUUACAAAAUUAUAUAUAAGUUUAUUGAUUGAAAAAUGAUAAACAGCAUAUUAUAAAACAGGACACAAGCUGCAGUGUUUAUUUCAGGCCUUUUAACCCAGAGGGGAGGUAUCGUACAUUUUUUUUAGGGGUAUGUGUUAUGCAAUAUGAGUAAAUAAUUAAUAAAUAAAUGCUUUUUUUUUCAGAGGUAAAUCCCUUUCCUUUCUGGUCACUCCCCUUAAAUAAACACUGCACAAGGUGGACCAUUUUAUCUAUGUAAGAAAAUGUAACAAAAAAUGGACCACCUUAUAUAACUGUAAAGUAAAUACAUGUACAUAUUAUAUAAUGUAAAUAAACUAUUAUAAAAUUAUAUAAAUAAGUUAUAUUAA